AAUAGAUACCCGGGUAGUCCACGCCGUAAACGAUGGAUGCUAGCUGUUAUGCGUAUCGACCCGUGUAGUAGCGAAGCUAACGCGUUAAGCAUCCCGCCUGGGGAGUACGAACGCAAGUUUAAAACUCAAAGGAAUUGACGGGGACCCGCACAAGCGGUGGAGCGUGUUCUUUAAUUCGAGGCUAAGCGAAGAACCUUACCAGGGCUUGACAUCCUUGGAAUUUCUCCGAAAGGAGAGAGUACUUUAUUGGACCAAGUGACAGGUGCUGCAUGGCCGUCGUCAGCUCGUGUCGUGAGAUGUUUGGUUAAGUCCAUUAACGAGCGCAACCCUUAUGAAUAGUUGUAUUUUUCUAUUCAGACUGCCCCGGUAACGGGGAGGAAGGGGGGGAUGAUGUCAGGUCAGUAUUGCCCUUACGCCCUGGGCUAGAAACGCGCUACAAUGGCCGGUACAAUGCGCUGCCAACCCGCGAGGGGGAGCAAAUCGCAUCAAAGCCGGUCCCAGUUCGGAUAAGAGGCUGAAACCCGCCUCUUGAAGCCGGAAUCGCUAGUAAUCGU
rnacentral:rRNA from 1 species